UUACAGGUGGGGAUAUCUAUGAAACAGUAAAGGAGCACUCAUGUCUCAGAAGCAUGUCUUCUGAUGGAGAAGCCAUCAAAAGGUUAUGCCCCAAAUGGUGGAGGGGAAGUCCUGUCUGCAAAAUCAGCAUGCAGAAAACAGCUGUCCAUCAAGAGAUGAAGGACCAAAAGGACAAAACAAGACACAAUAAGAUAAGAUGAUGUCAUGUAGAAAUUGAAGAAGGAGUGGUUCCAAGAGUGUGUAGAGCUUUUUCAGAGAUAACGUGCAGAAAGCAUAGACUUAGCUGAAAUGUUACUUGUGCGAUUAUCAAACCUUAUCAAACUUGUCUCCUUGUCUGACUUCAUGGAAAUGAACUUGGUGGCCAGAUCUGGCACAGCCAUACACAGUCAUGUACUGAAGCUUUAGGUUGUUGCCAUACAUACUCAGAAACAAAGUAAGGUCUGCAUAUAUGGUGGAUCAUGGUGUUUUCAUGCCCUUGCUGAGUGGUGCCAUUCUCAUCCAUAUUACCUGAAAGAAGAAUGACUCCUGGAUGCUGUCUUUUAGGUUUUCCGUAGUUUCAGAUAGAAGCCUACAAGAUACUUGGGACUAGCUGAACAGCAGGUGAGUUUGAUGCAUCAGUGUGUAACCUCAUUGAUCUUUCAAUGGAGGCUGUAGCCAAAUAAGGAAAUAAUGAGCAUUGGCAGACAUAAUAGCCUAUGGCUACUGGGAUAAGAUGGAGUAGCCCAGAGUCAAAACUGGCUUAUGACUUUUGCUAACUAUGGAACUUUUGAAAAAGCCUACAUAUUGAUUUUGUUUAUUUUCACUAGGCCCUUUAUUGAUAGCAACAAAUAACACACACACACACACACACACACACACACACA